GGCAGUAUUCUUGUGGGAGUGACCCGAUUUUCCAGGUGCCGUCCAUCACCCCUUUCUUUGACUAGGAAAGGGAACUCCCUGACCCCUUGCGCUUCCCAGGUGAGGCAAUGCCUCGCCCUGCUUCGGCUCGCGCACGGUGCGCGCACCCACUGACCUGCGCCCACUGUCUGGCGCUCCCUAGUGAGAUGAACCCGGUACCUCAGAUGGAAAUGCAGAAAUCACCCGUCUUCUGCGUCGCUCAGGCUGGGAGCUGUAGACCGGAGCUGUUCCUAUUCAGCCAUCUUGGCUCCCAGUUGUGUCGUUUUAAGGUCUGGAAAUAACUGGGAAAGAAAAGCCUUGUUGAAAGAAGACAUCUCCAGGGAAAACAUGCUGCUUCUUCAAAGACUCCAGUUUCAGAUGGCAAAAUGCAUGGAAGCUGAGAUGGACCUUCUGGAGUUUUCGAUAAACCACUGUAGCUCAGUCAGAGGUCCAAUUAUGAUGAUACCCACACAGCCCGGUCCUCCCACAGCCUACAUCCAAUCCUCUGAGGAAGCUGAGUGGCACUGCCUUUAUUCACCACAGAUGCUACAGAAUCAGCAGGAAGGAAGACUGUGAAAAGGAAAAAUGCACUCUUUUAAGAGAUGGAGUCUUGCUAUAUUUCCCAAGAUGGACUUGAACUCCUGGGCUCAAGCAAUCCUCCCACCUCAGCCUUCCAAGUUGCUGGAACUAUAUAGGUGCACACCACUGUGUCCGGCUAAAUUUGUGUUUUCCAUGGAUGUAUAAUAUAUUUACAUAUC
rnacentral:lncRNA from 1 species